rnacentral:miRNA from 1 species
GAGGUUCCCAAACCAGUCCUUAUGGCCCACCAACAUUCCAGGAUUUAUGUAUUUUCUGUUUUUAUUCCAAUGGAGAUACUGACAAAACCGGCCCUGUUGGUGGGCCAUGAGGACCGGUUUGGGAACCA